rnacentral:tRNA from 1 species
GCAGACGUAGCUCAGUCGGUAGAGCACCCCCGAAAUGGGGAUCGAUGCAGGUUCAAGUCCCGCCGUCUGCA